rnacentral:rRNA from 1 species
UACAGGGGGUGCAAACGUUGCUCGGAAUUAUUGGGCGUAAAGCGCGCGUAGGCGGCCACUUAAGUCGGAUGUGAAAGCCCCUGGCUCAACUGGGGAAGUGCACCCGAAACUGAAUGGCCUUGAGUGCGAAAGAGGGUCGCGGAAUUCCCGGUGUAGAGGUGAAAUUCGUAGAUAUCGGGAGGAACACCGGUGGCGAAGGCGGCGACCUGGGUCGACACUGACGCUGAGGCGCGAAGACGUGGGGAGCAAACAGG